rnacentral:rRNA from 1 species
AUUGAACGCUGGCGGCAGGCCUAACACAUGCAAGUCGAGCGGCAGCGCGGGGCAACCUGGCGGCGAGCGGCGGACGGGUGAGGAAUGCAUCGGAAUCUACCCUGUCGUGGGGGAUAACGUAGGGAAACUUACGCUAAUACCGCAUACGACCGAGAGGUGAAAGUGGGGGACCGCAAGGCCUCACGCGAUUGGAUGAGCCGAUGCCGGAUUAGCUAGUUGGUGGGGUAAAGGCCCACCAAGGCGACGAUCCGUAGCUGGUCUGAGAGGAUGAUCAGCCACACUGGGACUGAGACACGGCCCAGACUCCUACGGGAGGCAGCAGUGGGGAAUAUUGGACAAUGGGCGCAAGCCUGAUCCAGCCAUGCCGCGUGUGUGAAGAAGGCCUUCGGGUUGUAAAGCACUUUUGUUCGGGAAGAAAUCGUGCGGAUUAAUACUUCGCACGGAUGACGGUACCGAAAGAAUAAGCACCGGCUAACUUCGUGCCAGCCGCCGCAGUAAAAC